rnacentral:rRNA from 1 species
UACGUAGGGUGCAAGCGUUGUCCGGAAUUAUUGGGCGUAAAGAGCUCGUAGGCGGUCUGUCGCGUCUGCUGUGAAAACUCAGGGCUUAACCCUGAGCUUGCAGUGGGUACGGGCAGACUAGAGUGCGGUAGGGGAGACUGGAAUUCCUGGUGUAGCGGUGAAAUGCGCAGAUAUCAGGAGGAACACCGGUGGCGAAGGCAGCUCGCUGGGACGGUACUUACGCUGAGGCGCGAAAGCGUGGGGAGCAAACAGG